rnacentral:tRNA from 1 species
CCAUCGGCGGUUCAGUGGUAGAAUGCUUGCCUGCCACGGGUUCGAUUCCCGGCCGAUGCA